rnacentral:rRNA from 1 species
GAGCUUAGAGAGCUUGCUUUUUAAGCUUAGUGGCGAACGGGUGAGUAACGCGUGAGUAACCUGCCCUAGAGUGGGGGACAACAGUUGGAAACGACUGCUAAUACCGCAUAAGCCCACGGUACCGCAUGGUACUGAGGGAAAAGGAUUUAUUCGCUUUAGGAUGGACUCGCGUCCAAUUAGCUAGUUGGUGAGGUAACGGCCCACCAAGGCGACGAUUGGUAGCCGGACUGAGAGGUUGAACGGCCACAUUGGGACUGAGACACGGCCCAGACUCCUACGGGAGGCAGCAGUGGGGGAUAUUGCACAAUGGGGGAAACCCUGAUGCAGCGACGCCGCGUGGAGGAAGAAGGUUUUCGGAUUGUAAACUCCUGUCGUUAGGGACGAUAAUGACGGUACCUAACAAGAAAGCACCGGCUAACUACGUGCCAGCAGCCGCGGUAAAACGUAGGGUGCAAGCGUUGUCCGGAAUUACUGGGUGUAAAGGGAGCGCAGGCGGGAAGACAAGUUGGAAGUGAAAACCAUGGGCUCAACCCAUGAAUUGCUUUCAAAACUGUUUUUCUUGAGUAGUGCAGAGGUAGAUGGAAUUCCCGGUGUAGCGGUGGAAUGCGUAGAUAUCGGGAGGACACCAGUGGCGAAGGCGGUCUACUGGGCACCAACUGACGCUG